CGGGGUGCAGCAGGCGCGAAAACUUUACAAUGCGGGAAACCGUGAUAAGGGGACACCGAGUGCCAGCAUCAUAUGCUGGCUGUCCAGGUGUGUAAAAUACACCUGUCAGCAAGGGCCGGGCAAGACCGGUGCCAGCCGCCGCGGUAACACCGGCGGCCCGAGUGGUGAUCGUGAUUAUUGGGUCUAAAGGGUCCGUAGCCGGUUUGGUCAGUCCUCCGGGAAAUCUGACGGCUCAACCGUUAGGCUUUCGGGGGAUACUGCCAGGCUUGGAACCGGGAGAGGUAAGAGGUACUACAGGGGUAGGAGUGAAAUCUUGUAAUCCCUGUGAGACCACCUGUGGCGAAGGCGUCUUACCAGAACGGGUUCGACGGUGAGGGACGAAAGCUGGGGGCACGAACCGGAUUAGAUACCCGGGUAGUCCCAGCCGUAAACGAUGCUCGCUAGGUGUCAGGCAUGGCCGACCGUGUCUGGUGCCGCAGGGAAGCCGUGAAGCGAGCCACCUGGGAAGUACGGCCGCAAGGCUGAAACUUAAAGGAAUUGGCGGGGGAGCAC
rnacentral:rRNA from 1 species